UCAAAAUCCCUUUUUCUCUAAUUCUCUACUCACUGUUUCCGAUUGUUUUCUUUCAGAGACAGAGCUUCAGAUUUCAGCACCAUGGCAGACAACCAACAACCAAUAUUGGAUAAAGAGGGAGCUUCUGGUGAUGAAUUGCCUUUAGCUAAUCUAAAACGCUGGCAAUGGUGGUUCUUGGUGGCACUCAACAUCUUUUUCCUGAUUGUUGGUCAAGCUGCUGCUGUUUUACUUGGAAGAUUUUACUAUGAUCAGGGUGGAAACAGUAAAUGGAUGGCAACCGUUGUUCAAACUGCUGCAUUCCCAAUUCUUUUUAUCCCGCUCUUUCUUUCCCAUUCCACCAAGGGCACUUCGCCUUCGGCGUCCAUUAUCCCGCCUUCGAUUCUAAUACUCUGCUUGGUCUAUUUUUCGCUUGGAUCGCUUAUAGCUCUAGAUAACUGGAUGUACUCAACUGGGCUCUUAUACCUUUCUGCCUCCACUUACUCACUUGUUUGUGCUAGCCAAUUAGCUUUCAAUGCAGUUUUCUCCUACUUCAUCAACUCUCAGAAGUUCACAAUUUUGAUUUCGAAUUCUGUGAUUAUCCUCUCCUUGUCUUCUGCACUUUUGGCUGUCAACGACGAUUCUGAACGACCUGCUGGAGUGUCGAAGUCGAAAUAUUUCAUUGGAUUCAUUUGUGCCCUGGGAGCUUCAGCAUUGUAUUCUUUGCUGCUUUCUCUUAUGCAGCUUUCCUUUCAAAAGGUUCUGAAGAGGGAGACCUUUUCUGUGGUCUUGGAGAUGCAAAUCUAUACAUCCUUGGUCGCCACUUGUGUUUCGGUUGUUGCCCUUUUCGCUAGCGGUGAAUGGAGGAGUUUGCCUGGGGAGAUGGCAGGUUAUGGUAAGGGAAGAGUUUCAUAUGUGUUGACUUUGGUGGGAACGGCUGUGGCUUGGCAGACAUGUUCGGUUGGCGUCGUUGGAUUGAUUUUCAUCGUCUCUUCCCUCUUCUCCAAUGCAAUCAGUACCGUCUCCUUAGCCAUUACACCCUUAGCUGCACUUGUAGUUUUCCAUGACAAGAUGAAUGGUGUGAAGAUCAUUGCCUUGCUUCUCGCCUUAUGGGGCUUUGCAUCUUAUUUAUACCAAAACUAUAUGGACGAAUCCAAGGCACAAAGAAGGCGAAACAAAACCGACGAACCCUGCGACGAAAGGUCCCCUUGUUGAUGGACCAUCCGAUGUAAACUGCAUAUAGCUUAGGAGCACAGAUUCAUCUGAAGUCUCAUUUUUUUACAAUAAUCUUACUCAACAAAUUCCAUAAAGGCGAAGCCGGGCACGAAGUCGUCUCGGUACACAGGGAGAAGGAAUGUCGUUUCGUUCGGGAAGUAGAAGUUCGUGACGUGACAAAUUGCUAUUGGAUUGAAAAUUUUAGUCAGCUCGAGUGAGAGAUAAUAUAAGAUCUCAACUACACAAAAAGAGUAGAUAGGAGAGUUUGCUUAGGGUAUGGCCUUAUUGAAAUAGAACGACCUUGAACAUUUUCUUGUUCCUACUCUAUGGCAAGUUUUGUUUGAUAAUCAUGAUCGGAAAAUAGCACUGAACAAGCAAGGGCUAAAARCUUCUUUUACCCAGUCUUCUCCCAUGGGCUCAGAACAGGGUCGACUACUUAUCCCAGCUCUAAAGGCAGCUAAUGACUCAAUAGUUCAAGUUAAGUCGACUGUGAUUCUUCGUGUUCCACUGUGAAUAGUCUCGUUAUCGUAUUCGGUUGUUUUCCCGACUUCCGUACCUUCUUCUUAGAAGCCUUCAACUUUCACUGGAUUCACUAAGCUUUAAAUAUUACUUCUCUGAA